rnacentral:rRNA from 5 species
UCAUGACUGGGGUGAAGUCGUAACAAGGUAGCCCUAGGGGAACCUGGGGCUGGAUCACCUCCUUAUACGA